AUAAAGCGUUAACACACACAUUUGCAGUCUCUACAGUGUGACUGUCAAAACAAUAAUUUUGUAUGGAGUGUCCGGGGUGUGCUCAAGUGCCAAAAGAUCCGUGUAUUAUUAUAGAAUAAUAAGUAACUGUCAUUUUCAAUUUCAAUUUUUAUCUGUACCAAUGUAUUUAAUUUUCGUUAAGAAAAAAAUAGCUCUCUCAAAACACAAAUUUUUCCCCGAAAUUAUUGUAAUUUAUUGUGAUUUUAAAAAUCUCCAAGCAUGGAGCGAAUGUUGUAAAAAAUGAUUUUAUUCUUAGUUAAAACUUCAAUGUGAAGUUUAUUAUCUGUGAUUAUAGCAAUAAGUUACAUUAAUAAAGUUAUAUUAUUAAAUUUUA